CCUUCAGCAGCACUAGGGUGGGAUGAAAAAGCCCAUCCCACUGCCCUUACCUCACCACUGCAGUAAACCUUCAGGGCUGGGAAUCCCUCUACCAGAAGAAGGAUACAGGAGAUAGCAUUAGCAGAAGGUAUUCUGGAAAGGAUUCAGAACUCGGCUCACUGAUCUGACUAAAAAGGAAAAAUCACUGAUAUACUUCAUUGUACAGUAAACGUUGGAAAGAGAAGCAUCCUGGGAGGAGGAUGUCACUGCAGCUGUAUGUGUGGGCAUAGCAAAGCAGCAUAAAUUCUGAUUGUUGCCACAGCAGGUUCUGUGAGCUGUUGAAACUAGGCUUAUGUUACUUCUGCAUCAAUUUUUCUUUCACUGGCUCGUCCCUGUAAAUCAAAAUGAAAAGUUAACAGACUAUGAAAUAUAUUUUGCAUUGUUUAUUCCAAAAUACCUUUAUCUUGAGAUAUGCUAAUCAAAUAACCAUGGCUGGUCUUUAAUGGAAUGGACAAAAAGUAUGCAGUAUGGCAUCCUUAAUCUCUUAGGGAAACACCUCAAAUGCCUGUCAUAGGAGUGACAUUGACAGGUUCUGAAGAGAUUGGCCUCCAAUCUCACAGCAAGAUAAAAGGGUGCCAGCAGUCACUGCUCAGGAGGCCGUCAAUUAAUAACUGGGUAAGAGGUAUAUAUUUUGACUAAUAUUUGACAUUUACAUUACCUCCAAGUUAGAGAGAAAGGGAGCCUUUCACCUCAAAAAUUGUUUUCAACCUGUUAAAAAAAUAAAGUUUUAUUUUCAGCUAACUGCA